AUCUAUUGAGCAGAUGGAUUGGCUUUGAUUCAAAGACGCUGCCGGACGAGGAGGAGCAACCCAUGGUUGUCCCCACUACCGGACGAGGAGGAGCAACCCAUGGCUGUCUCCACUACCGGACGAGGAGGAGCAACCCGUGGCCGUUCCUUUUUCCUCCACUGUGUUCGUACCACGAGCGCGCUAAUUGGUCUGUUGCCGAACGGGUGCAAGAGGUGGCCGACAUCGCCACCAUCGUCAAAUCCCUCCCAAGCCCGGAUCUGCUCCUCUACGGCACCUGCUCAGGUGUUCUUCUCGCUGCGGAGCUGAACGCAAAUCGAUGCCGGCCUAAGCCCCAUCUCUCGAGCACAUCCCGCCGCUGAUCUCUCCCCGCCCCCUGCCGCUACAGCAAAGAUCAGCGUCGCAUCCCCUUAUCUUCCCUAUAAUUCUUUCGUAUGGCGACAUAUGCGAUGACCAAGCUUCCUCUGGUUGUGACACCGGUGUGCGGGACGGGUGGUCGUCCUGCUCAAGGAAAAGAACGCGGCUGAGACAGGCUCAACGACGGUUGGCGGCUAGCUGAUGUGGUGGCCAGUCUCUGGCUCGCGGGCGUCCAGGCGCUCGAAAACUCGAAUCCCUCAAGUGGUGCAAACUCCGCAUCAUGGACAACAGGUCGAGCGCCCGCGGCAGCAAGCCGUCAUCCAACCCAUCCGGAAGAAGACGAUUGUGUUUCUACCCUUCGUGAAGAGAUAAAAACUGUUGCAGUGGUAAUAUGGAUUCAGAAGUGACGAGAUGCUCCACACUUUGUCGUAACUCAAUCUGCCGGUUCUUUGUUUGAGGUACGUACUGAAGCUAACCUUGCAAGAGGCAGGCAAGGAAGGUAUGAUUGUUGCUGAAGCCGAGCUCAUAAACGUCUCACGUCAUGUGGUUCUGUGCUAUUUUGAAUCUUCUUUAAAGUGUGUAGUUUCAGUUUCACACGAAAAUCUGUUGCGCUCGCAGUGUGUACAAUGUACAGUUUACCGACGUGCAUAUGUGUUCAUUUGAGUGCACUUCAGUUUACCAUUUUUUUACCAAUGCAUGUUCAACAUAAUGUCUGUAUUUGCGCCCUCCAAACCUGAAAAUUCCUACUUUUGGUUAAUAAAUCAUGUUGUUCAGAACACGAGCAACCUUUAAGUAGCAAUUCUGUUAUGUUUCGGAAUUUACUUAAAAUUAAAAUUUGAAAAGAGCAUGAGUUUUGGGCUUUAUUCUUCACCAUGACCUUUUACUCCUGUAACCAUAGCUUCCAUCGUCAUUACCUUAGAUUUUUCCUUUUUCCAUUUGUUCGGCAAAGAGAAGUCUUCUAGCGUCAUUGCCUUAGUUUAUUUUUUCCUUAUGUUUGGCAAAGAAAAGUGACAUGCAUUUUAAAUCGUUGGAAGUAAGCUUUGAUGUGUUGUGAGGACAAUUAAUGAUGUAUCUUCAUCUGCAUGAAGAACGAAGAAUUUUCAUGAUUUUGUAUAUCCUUCAGUUGCUUGCUGUAACCUGAAGAAUUCACAAGCAUUCAUAUGUAGCAAUGAGUAGAAUUAAUAUGUAGCACUGAGUCCCUAUAUGUACAUUUAUACAUGAGAGGUGUUUGGGCAUGAGUCAAUUGGUUGUAUCAACAGGUAGCAAGUCUUCUGCAGAGUUGACAAGAAAUAUAUUAUUAGUGAUUACUUGAACUCUUUUUUAUUAUUGCUACUGAUUUUCGCAUUAUCUAGUUACUCCAUCAAUGAAUCACCCUUUAAUCCUAUCUUCAUGUAAGGUUAAACUUCUAUUUUUGUUUCCCUAAGAAAAAACUUCAAUUUUUGUUGCUAUAGUAGAAAAUUGAUGGCACAACUGAAUUGGCCGAUGUUGAGGAUUUCAAAAAAGCAAAAUGAUCUUAAUCUGGAGCCAUCACAUGUCACCAACCAUCUCAACAUUAUCUCGGGUUUUGAAAUGCUCUGAAUUGGUUGUUUAGGGUAUAAUUGGUGAUCCAUUGCCAUCACCUCCGUCACCAACCACGUUGACAUUAUCUUUGAGUUCUGAACUGAUGAAUGAAGAAAAGUUUCAUUGGAUGAUGAUAAGCAACUGGAGGAACAUAAACUUGUCAGCUUGAUGUAACAUAUGACUAUCUCCCACAAGAUGAAGGACUGGGGCAACAUCGGCUAUUCUUUGAGAUGGAAGGGAAAUUUCAUCGCAUGUCAAUGCAAAUUUAUUCCUAUCACAGCAGAUGCAAUCACUACUGAAGCUCUGGCGAUGAGAGAUGGUCUUUUAUUUGCUAAUUCUCUUGGCUUUAAUUGGAUAGAGGCGGAAUCUGACUCUCUCAUACACGAUGGUGGGACGAAGCAGCGACGGUGUUUGUGGAGUGUGUGGACAUAGUCUCUUCAGUUGAAAAGGUUAUCUUUAAGCAUUGUUUACGUUCUUGUAAUCAAGCAGCUCAUGUGCUAGCGAAAUUUAGUUUCUGUAAUAAGUACUCUCUUAGUUGGUUGGAUGAGCCUCCUGACUAUUUGGUGAAGGAGCUCGUGGAUGAUGUAAACGUUAUUUCUACUCAA